UUAAUCGGCUCAUCGGCUUCUAAUCGUCGACUUGAUUUAUCAGCUUAUUCUCAACACAUUUGUUUUUGUUGAUGGAAAAGUGAACAUUCAGUUUAACUGUUUGAUUUGUUAAUUGUGAUUUAUUAAUUGUUAGUUAUGGAUUUUGAUAAGAGAACAGUAAUUCGAGCUGUUUACAUGGGAGUUUGUAUUCUUCUUGGUUCAUCAGCUGUUCAUUCAUAUUAUCGACCUUUAGAUGGUUUGAAGGAAGAGACUAAUAGGAAAAUUAAAGAAAUCGAAGCUGAAAGAUUAAAGGAUAAGUGAAUUUGUAAAUAGAUUAUUGUAGAUUAAGAUUAUGUGUAUAAAAUAAAGUUGAUUGAAAAAGUUA